GAAUAAGCAUCGGCUAACUCCGUGCCAGCAGCCGCGGUAAUACGGAGGAUGCGAGCGUUAUCCGGAUUUAUUGGGUUUAAAGGGUGCGUAGGCGGCCUGUUAAGUCAGCGGUGAAAUCUAGGAGCUUAACUCCUAAAUUGCCAUUGAUACUGGCGGGCUUGAGUGUAGAUGAGGUAGGCGGAAUGCGUGGUGUAGCGGUGGAAUGCAUAGAUAUCACGCAGAACUCCGAUUGCGAAGGCAGCUUACUAAGGUACAACUGACGCUGAAGCACGAAAGCGUGGGUAUCAAACAGGAUUAGAUACCCUGGUAGUCCACGCAGUAAACGAUGAUAACUGGGCGUAUGCGAUAUACAGUAUGCUCCUAAGCGAAAGCGUUAAGUUAUCCACCUGGGGAGUACGCCGGCAACGGUGAAACUCAAAGGAAUUGACGGGGGCCCGCACAAGCGGAGGAACAUGUGGUUUAAUUCGAUGAUACGCGAGGAACCUUACCCGGGAUUGAAAUGUAGAUGACCGCUCCUGAAAGGGAGUUUUCCUUCGGGACAUCUAUGUAGGUGCUGCAUGGUUGUCGUCAGCUCGUGCCGUGAGGUGUCGGCUUAAGUGCCAUAACGAGCGCAACCCCUGUCUACGGUUGCCAUCAGGUGAUGCUGGGAACUCCGUAGAGACUGCCGUCGUAAGGCGUGAGGAAGGUGGGGAUGACGUCAAAUCAGCACGGCCCUUACAUCCGGGGCGACACACGUGUUACAAUGGUAAGGACAAAGGGCAGCUACCUGGCGACAGGAUGCGAAUCUCUAAACCUUAUCACAGUUCGGAUCGGAGUCUGCAACUCGACUCCGUGAAGCUGGAUUCGCUAGUAAUCGCGCAUCAGCCAUGGCGCGGUGAAUACGUUCCCGGGCCUUGUACACACCGCCCGUCAAGCCAUGGGAGUCUGGAGUACCUAAAGUCCGUAACCGCAAGGGUCGGCCUAGGGUAAUACAGGUGACUGGGGCUAAGUCGUAACAAGGUAGCCGUACCGGAAGGUGCGGCUG
rnacentral:rRNA from 1 species